rnacentral:lncRNA from 10 species
CCAGGCCCUGCUGGUCCAGGAGGAGAGACAGCUGCCUGCGAGCCUCCUGCAGGGCCCUGCGGGCGAUGACCAGGCCAUGGCAGUCGUGGAGCUGCUGGCCCGAGAACUCCAGCCAGCCAGCACAGCAGCUGCUGCCGGUGCCCAGAGCCACCAGCUUGUAGAUCUCCUUCACGUGGCCCCUGGCACGCGGGAUCUCUGUGCAGGAGGGGGCAGAGACGGCCCAGCCUAAGGCCCAGUAUGGCGAGCGCUCGUCCAACAGGAGGUCAAAGCCGGCGCUCACCAACGCUGCGCAGCGCUGCUCAUGGGUCAGGAUGUUCUCUGCGCCAGGGCGAGAGACUGCAGGCUCCAUCGCCACCCCAUGCCGCGCACACCCUUGAGUGCCUCUGCAGGCUGUGACCCAUCGCUGAUUCAACCAAGUCCUCACCCAACUCCUCCACAGCAGGGAUGCGUGACUCCAUUUCACAGAUG